CUGCAAAUCAAGAAACGGAAAGAU
rnacentral:sRNA from 1 species